rnacentral:rRNA from 1 species
UACGUAGGGUCCGAGCGUUGUCCGGAAUUACUGGGCGUAAAGAGCUCGUAGGUGGUUUGUCGCGUUGUUCGUGAAAACUCACAGCUUAACUGUGGGCGUGCGGGCGAUACGGGCAGACUGGAGUACUGCAGGGGGAGACUGGAAUUCCUGGUGUAGCGGUGAAAUGCGCAGAUAUCAGGAGGAACACCGAUGGCGAAGGCAGGUCUCUGGGCAUUAACUGACGCUGAGGAGCGAAAGCAUGGGGGAGCGAACAGG